GCUGCCGAUUCAGGCGCCGCGGGGUAAACACGGCGAGAACUCCACGUAAAGUUUCGGACUCUUCUGUGCUGGAUGCAGCCGAGGGGGCAUUUCAGAAAACGAUUUACAGAUUUGUUUCACAUUCUUCUAGAGAUUUCACUCAAAUGCUCUGGUGACACGUCUUGGGAUAUUAGCACAAGACCAGAGGUGAAGGGAGACUCACAGUAAUUCAGGCUGGGCAUAACUUCAUGCUGCUUACAACAAUGAUGGAUUGUCUGCAAUGUAACCACCUGACCUCAGCUAAAUCUACCAAUUAACUGCAUACCUGUUUCCACAUCUCCCAGCUAAAUGGUUACUAUUAGUUACAGCCUGUCGGGUAAUAACAAUAAUUAAUACACGCACUUAACUCCUUUCCUUUACUGAGCCCAAAGCUCCUCACAAAGGCCACUUCUGUUGUAUAAAUGGAGGAAACUGAGUCACAGUAUGAUCAGCAAAGUAGUAAGGAUUGGAAGUGGAGCUACCUUAUUAUCAGUCCAAUCCUUUGUCUUCUAUACAACAGAUUGACCAGGUGGAUCUAAUCCCCAGAGGAUCAACUAAAAAGUGUCACCUUCCCAGCACAAGUCUCUUAAGGAGGCUUUAAUCUAAAGGAAUGAAAUUCAAAGAGAUGAGGUGAGACAGAAAAAGAACUUGCAAGAAGGAAAUUAGAAAGAGGUCAGAGGAAAUUUCUCUUGGGAUUGUAAUAGAGAUUUGCACGCCAAUGAGUGGCUAAGGCAAAUGAGAGAGACAAUCUCGAUGUCUCAUUUAGGCAGAUGAUUAUCUCUGAAUUGUGAUGAGUGGCCAGUGAGUGAUACUGAUGUGCCUAGUGGAGCACACCUUAUACACUGUGAGUACACUACACCUGCAGAACUCUUCAGCAAAUGCACACAAGAGUCAGUCAUGGAGAGAGAAUUCUGGAUCCAACCUGAAGACCACAGGCACAUUUCCCUGUUGUGGGUGGAUACAGGACAGAGACAUACAGUAUAAGCCUUCCCCUGAGCCCUAUUAUCCAGAAUUAUCACUUUAGGAGAUUCCAACAACAGCAGAAACUGCACCUGAUCCCUUACUUUUAAUAAGUAAUAAUGCAGUAGCACUUUUAAUGGACCUGUCUUCCCAAAAUUUGUCUAAUCUGUAUUUAUACUUUUGGUGUCUGAGGCGUGCUGUGAUAGUCAAGUUUACAAUCUGAUUAUGUGUACUUUUGAAUACUCCUGGUCUGCGCUUAUCUGAGAGAGACAUUUUAAAUCGCUGUAAUCUAAUCUUGCUGCCAGCCAUCUUUUUGCCACAGAUGAUGUGAUGAUUGAGCCGUCAGAGAUAAGAAACCGGAGUCUUUGGCACAAAAGAAUAAUCCCCUGUCCUUUGAUGUAAGGGAUAGCUUUCUCUUUUGGGAGCAGGGACCGAGCUCGUAUACUCAGCCAAAAAGAAGCUGGUGUGAUGUGACUGAACUCCAUGGCUGUGCCCAUGAGAAAGGAAAGGCUGCACUCGUGGUAUCCUGACCUGAAACACCACCUGAUCUGACAUUUCAGUACUGCAUGUCCAGCUCCAACAUCUGGUGAGAAGGUGUUUUCCGUGAGAGCUGCUACACUGCCUGGUCAGGAGACUGUUCUUGUGUUUCACAUAGCCAAUAUUGCCUGGGGAAAGGGGAUGUGAGCAAGCCGUGGGAGCCAUGGAACAGGAGGCAAUCACGGGCAGUAUAAAACAUGAUACCAUGAGAGUAAAUGAAAAUGGCAGGUUUUAGCUGACCUCUUCACCCUUUGGCAGGGGUUUUCCUCUUCACCAGGAGGAACUACCUCAAAGGCAGAUAUCUGCACAUACACAAGAGUGUUGCGGGAGGUUCUUGCUUCUGGGUUCAGGAAGAACAAGCAGGAAUCUAGUGAAGGGAGUAGAUACCAGUGCUAGGUAUCUGUUGCAGUGGAGCAAGCAUCUUCCUCAGGAUUUAUAUAGCCUUGAGAAGAGAAGCAGGAACAGCAUGAAACGUGGAUGAGUGCACAAAACUUCACUCAGGACUGGGCAGGUUCUGAGACAGGUGGAAAUAUGGGCUUGGUCAAGGACAUAAAUCCUUAUGACAGGGAUUGCAAUAAUCUGCCAUCUGCAGGAAUCCUUUCGCCUGGAGUGUUUCACACUUGCAAUCAGAGACUACUUGUGAAAAAUGUGGUCUUGAGAGACUUCCUGGCUCCACAAUAUUCCUGUCUUCUGAAACAUGCUAGACGAUGUACCCUGCGUGAUGGAAGCACCUCAGGGACUAUGCCAGCACUGCCUUUACUGUGCUGGAGUAGGAAGGGAGAAAUGGGAAUGAAAGAGGAUACAGAGAAGGAAACAGAAUUGGGUAGGCUUAACCAGCUGAGUUUUUAGUAUAAGGCAGGGGCAUAAUAUAGCCUGGCCUUUUGUGAAUCUGAAUGUCUUUUAGACAAAGGAGUAUAAUCUUUCCCUAGUAAAUAUUUGUAUAAUCAGGAUUUUGUGAAUCUGCACUCAUUUUAAAUCAUCAGUUUUCUCAGAGAAGACUGUGUAAUGAAGGGAGACCAAGAAGAACACUGCUCCAUUGAUUCCUAUCAAGCCAUGAGGAUACUGAACUUUAGUCAUCACUGGGGAAGUUCUCCUGACAUUCUCUCAGCUCUGGGUUUAUCUGCAUUGACAGGACAAUAAAAAUUCUUGUCUAUCACUCUACUGCCAUCACCUUUGGCUCCUGGACUUGGUUGUGGAAGAAUUUAAUGGAGUUCUGCCCUCUCUUCUCGUGCCUUGCUCUUUCCCUUGGUUCACAGGGAAUGGUGACUGGCAUUAACAUCCCUGCACUGAGCCAACCCUGACAAGCUGUUGCUGCUACAAGAUGUCCAGCAGCUCAGCCCCUGCCAAACAGAGCCAUUGAUCCUCCAGCUUGUGCCAGUUCAAAGGAGCACAGGAUGCAUAUCCAGCUUUGUGGAAGGGCUGACAAGUGGUUUGGGGCAGGUGAUUGGCAUGGACAUCAGUGAGCAACACUGAAGGCAGGGAGAGGACUGCACUCGGGAGAUCUUUCUGGCUGGUUAUAGUUAUUAGCUUUUGACUGGAAAAGCGCUGUUUUUUAUUUAUUCAGUAAUCUAAAAAUAUCCUGGUAAUGAAUUAACCUGAAUAGGGGGAGGGGGACAAAAAAAACGCAUAUUGAUUUUCUAAAAGCAGGCAGGAAUGCUGUUAUUUUCCAAUUAACGUUCAGCAUUAGAGAACAAUCCAGCUGGAAAGAACCAGCUAAGCAAUUCCAAGCUUUUUGCUCUCUGCACUUUUUCUAGUGAUAUUUUUCUCAUUUAGCUUCUUAAAAAAGAAAGACCCUAAUAACAAUUUAGGUUAUUGUCCCCUUUGGCUAAUGGGGAUUACCUUGUUGUGGGCUCCAGGGGUGGGGCUAUGGAAUAACUAUGGCUAUGGAAUCCAACUGUCCACGCUGAAGCGGAAGGCAUGUUCAUCUAAUAAAGGCUGCCCCUGCUCCAGUACUGGAGAAAAGUGUAAGACAAGCCUUCCAAAUGCAGUAUUCAUUAUAAGGAUAUUUCUCUAUAAAAUUCAGAGCAGGUCAGGGUUUCUGGUGGGACUGGUGAUGAGCUCUAGUCUGAUUUUGGCUGAGUCGCCCUUUUAUUUCCACUGCUCUUCUUUACUGUGUCUGGUAUAGUGUCCAUGGCUCUUCCUUCUUACGGCUUAGCAUACUCAAGGCUCACCAGAUUCAGUGGUAAACAAUGAGUAAAAAUGAUAUCAUCACAUCCAGCUCCUUCAGGUCCCUAUUUGUGGCCACUGAGUUCAGCUGAAUGCUUUGACCAGGAGCAGCCUCCACCACAAACCCAACAGGCAGCUCAGGGCCACACCACUGGCCCUCCAGUGAGACCAAGCACUGGAUGCUGCAGCUCAUGGUAUGCACCCAAAGCAGCAAGCACUGAUAACAGGGAAGCAGAUUGGAAGUAGGGAAAUUACCACUUUCUGAGUAAGCAUGUGCACACACAGGUCAACAUACAUUCUCAUAAACUGAGAUCCUUAUUUUUUAAACAGGUUUCUGAGGUCCUAUCUGAGUUUUCAAGUUUUCUAUGCUUUCUGAAUUUUUAUUUUGCUCUCUUGCAUGUUGCCCUUUUCAAACUAUUAACUUGUGCAGGGGUGAAUUCUACUGAGUUUAAGCAACAGCAGAGGCUGUCUGGCCAACAGCAUAUGUUGUAUUUCCAUGUAAUUUCUCCAUUUUCUUCCAAAUGCUCAAGGGAAUCUGGCUGUAGAAAGUCCAUAUUGGAACUUUACCUGGUAUACAAGUUGCGGACUCAAGUGCUGAAAUAGAAUUCAGCUUUUGUAGAUCUUAGACUUGGCAAAGCAUUUGGAAAAACUACAAGCACCCAUUACUGCUAUACUGAGACGGAAAUGUUGCCAGAUAUUUCUGAACAGUUUUGCAUAAAUUUCAAUAUAUAUGUUCUUAUUUAGCAAGUGUUUAUUUAGCUAUCACUGUAGUCUUCCUUUAAGGGUCCAGGAAGGGCCCAGGGAGAGCGACAAAACCACCAGCUUUUGCUAAGGAAUGAUAUGCCCUGCAGCCAUACUGUGUACUUAGAGUCUGGAAACAAAUUUUAGGGCCUAGAUUUAUUUAUACUGUUUAAUAGAUGCUUUGAUAAUUAUUUGCAUGGGAAUGGAAAACAAAUUCUCCAGAUUAAAAACCAUAAAGAAAGCUUGUUUGGAUUAGCAUGAUCAACCAAAAGCAUCCAUUUGAUUCUUGGUAUAUAUAUAAUUUACUGAGCUGCAAAAUAAACACACUCUACUGUUCCUCUGUUGAAGACUCCAGCUGUAAAUAUUUCAUUACUUUAAAAAUGUAUUGCUAUUAGAUAGGUCUCUUAUUG